rnacentral:misc_RNA from 1 species
CCAUAAAGUAUGAAGCUGUACGCGCUGUUCUCUCGGCCAUUUGCGGCUUAUUAUUGAGUACCCUAUGUCUUUGCGCCUUGUGGGUUGCCUGCGGGUUCGCCGCCACCAGACCACAUCAUAACCUUUUUAUGCAUUUCAAUCAGCGUCUGGAUAUACAAUUAAUCAUUUA